rnacentral:rRNA from 1 species
GACGAACGCUGGCGGCGUGCUUAACACAUGCAAGUCGAACGGAAAGGCCCCCAUCUUGGUGGGGGUGCUCGAGUGGAGAACGGGUGAGUAACACGUGGGUGAUCUGCCCUGUACUUCGGGAUAAGCUUGGGAAACUGGGUCUAAUACCGGAUAGGACCAUGGUUUAGUGUCUCAUGGUGGAAAGAUUAUUGUUUUGGUGCAGGAUGAGCUCGCGGCCUAUCAGCUUGUUGGUGGGGUAAUGGCCUACCAAGGCGUCGACGGGUAGCCGGCCUGAGAGGGUGGACGGCCACAUUGGGACUGAGAUACGGCCCAGACUCCUACGGGAGGCAGCAGUGGGGAAUAUUGCACAAUGGGCGCAAGCCUGAUGCAGCGACGCCGCGUGGGGGAUGACGGCCUUCGGGUUGUAAACUCCUUUCGUUAGGGACGAAGCCGCACUUUUUUUGGGUGUGGUGACGGUACCUUUGUUAAGAAGCACCGGCUAACUACGUG